AGAUUGAACGCUGACGGCAUGCUUUACACAUGCAAGUCGAACGGCAGCACGGGGGCAACCCUGGUGGCGAGUGGCGAACGGGUGAGUAAUGCAUCGGAACGUAUCCUUAAGUGGGGGAUAACGCAUCGAAAGAUGCGCUAAUACCGCAUAAUCUCUGAGGAGAAAAGCAGGGGAUCGCAAGACCUUGCGCUUUUGGAGCGGCCGAUGUCUGAUUAGCUAGUUGGUGAGGUAAAGGCUUACCAAGGCUUCGAUCAGUAGCUGGUCUGAGAGGACGACCAGCCACACUGGGACUGAGACACGGCCCAGACUCCUACGGGAGGCAGCAGUGGGGAAUUUUGGGACAAGUGGGGGCAACCCGUGAUCCAGCCAUGCCGCGUGAGUGAAGAGGCUCGGUUGUAAGCUCUUCAGCCGAACGAACGGUUACGUUAAGUAACCGUGACUAAUGACGGUACGAAGAAGAA
rnacentral:rRNA from 1 species